UACGAAGGGGGCGAGCGUUGUUCGGAAUUACUGGGCGUAAAGGGCGCGCAGGCGGCUCUGAGAGUCAGAUGUGAAAGCCCCGGGCUUAACCUGGGAACUGCAUUUGAUACUCUGGAGCUUGAGUACGGGAGAGGAUAGUGGAAUUCCCAGUGUAGAGGUGAAAUUCGUAGAUAUUGGGAAGAACACCAGUGGCGAAGGCGGUUGCCUGGGGCUUUGCUGACGCUGAUGCGCGAAAGCGUGGGGAGCGAUCCGG
rnacentral:rRNA from 1 species